rnacentral:rRNA from 1 species
CCUACGGGUGGCAGCAGUGAGGAAUAGUGGUCAAUGGGCGCGAGCCUGAACCAGCCAAGGAGCGUGAAGGAAGACAGCCCUACGGGUGGUAAACUUCGUUUAUAAAGGAAUAAACUGAGGCACGUGUGCCUUUUUGCAUGUACUUUAUGAAUAAGGAUCGGCUAACUCCGUGCCAGCAGCCGCGGUAAUACGGAGGAUACGAGCGUUAUCCGGAGUUAUUGGGUUUAAAGGGAGCGUAGAUGGGUUGUUAAGUCAGUUGUGAAAGUUUGCGGCUCAACCGUAAAAUUGCAAUUGAUACUGGCAGCCUUGAGUACAGUUGAGGUAGGCGGAAUUCGUGGUGUAGCGGUGAAAUGCUUAGAUAUCACGAAGAACUCCGGUUGCGAAGGCAGCCUACUAGACUGCAACUGACGUUGAUGCUCGAAAGUGUGGGUAUCAAACAGGAUUAGAUACCCGAGUAGUC